rnacentral:rRNA from 1 species
GUGUAUGUUGGAAGAGGAGGGGUGGUAAUACAGGGGUGCCGGACGGUGUUUGUAUUGAAUGGGGGGAAAGGGUGGGUAGGUGGGUGGGUAAGGCGGAUGGGAAAGCUUGGAGCGCAACGCCGAAAUGGCAUUGGAAACUACCUUGCUCGAGGGUUGGAGGGGGGACUGGAAUGCUUGGUGUAGCAGUGAAAGGCGUAGAUAUCAAGCGGAACACCAGUGGCGAAGGCGAGUCCCUGGACAACUCCUGACACUGAGGCACGAAAGCUAGGGGAGCAAACAGGAUUAGAUACCCUAGUAGUC